GCCGGGCAUGGUGGUGUGUGCCUGUAGUCCCAAUUACUCGGGAGGCUGAGGUGGGAGGAUCGCCUGAGCCCAGGAGGUCCUGGCUGCAGUGAGCUAUGAUCACACCACAGCACUCCAGCCUGGGUGACAGAGUGAGACCCUGUCUCUU
ensembl:misc_RNA Metazoa_SRP Metazoan signal recognition particle RNA